rnacentral:misc_RNA from 1 species
GAUGAAGAACGUAGCGAAAUGCGAUAAGUAAUGUGAAUUGCAGAAUUCAGUGAAUCAUCGAGUCUUUGAACGCACAUUGCGCCCCCUGGUAUUCCGGGGGGCAUGCCUGUCCGAGCGUCAUUGCUGCCCUCAAGCACGGCUUGUGUGUUGGGCCCCCGUCCCCGGUUUCCCCCGGGGACGGGCCCGAAAGGCAGCGGCGGCACCGCGUCCGGUCCUCGAGCGUAUGGGGCUUUGUCACCCGCUCUGUAGGCCCGGCCGGCGCCAGCCGACACCCAACUUUAUUUCUAAGGUUGACUUCGGAUCAGGUAGGGAUACCCGCUGAACUUAAGCAUAUCAAUAAGCGGAGGA